CAGUGUGUAGUUUAUGUUAAAAUAUUAAUUUUGGAGAUUAAAGAUAAGUUAAUUACUUUUCACUGA
rnacentral:tRNA from 1 species